UCCGGAGCGGAGUGGCACCAGACCUUUGAGAUUUUCUGACAUUAUUUUUUACCCUGGAGUUUUCAAGUGUCAUGGAGCGAUAAACUCCACCUAGGCCGAGCGAUAGGAUUUCAUGUUCGGAGAGAGGCAACACGAGUAACUGGACUUAUCAUCUUACCACGAAAGACCAGGAUCUAAAGAAACGUCCUUUACAUAUGGUAGAUGAGUUACUGUGGAGAGGAAGUGGUGCAUACAUCCGAAGACAGCUCUUUGGGUGAUUUCCUCUCAAGACGAGAAACGGCAGUUCAACAUUUAUAAUUUCACUUAAUAAACUCAAUAGUUUU